rnacentral:rRNA from 1 species
AACGAACGCUGGCGGCAGGCCUAACACAUGCAAGUCGAACGGUAGCACAGAGAGCUUGCUCUCGGGUGACGAGUGGCGGACGGGUGAGUAAUGUCUGGGAAACUGCCCGAUGGAGGGGGAUAACUACUGGAAACGGUAGCUAAUACCGCAUAACGUCGCAAGACCAAAGUGGGGGACCUUCGGGCCUCACACCAUCGGAUGUGCCCAGAUGGGAUUAGCUAGUAGGUGGGGUAAUGGCUCACCUAGGCGACGAUCCCUAGCUGGUCUGAGAGGAUGACCAGCCACACUGGAACUGAGUCACGGUCCAGACUCCUACGGGAGGCAGCAGUGGGGAAUAUUGCACAAUGGGCGCAAGCCUGAUGCAGCCAUGCCGCGUGUAUGAAGAAGGCCUUCGGGUUGUAAAGUACUUUCAGCGGGGAGGAAGGCGGUGAAGUUAAUAGCUUCACCGAUUGACGUUACCCGCAGAAGAAGCACCGGCUAACUCCGUGCCAGCCGCCGCCGUAA